GACGGACGCUGGCGGCGUGCUUAACACAUGUAAGUCGAACGGAAAGGCCCUGCUUUUGUGGGGUGCUCGAGUGGCGAACGGGUGAGUAACACGUGAGUAACCUGCCCUUGACUUUGGGAUAACUUCAGGAAACUGGGGCUAAUACCGGAUAGGAGCUCCUGCUGCAUGGUGGGGGUUGGAAAGUUUCGGCGGUUGGGGAUGGACUCGCGGCUUAUCAGCUUGUUGGUGGGGUAGUGGCUUACCAAGGCUUUGACGGGUAGCCGGCCUGAGAGGGUGACCGGCCACAUUGGGACUGAGAUACGGCCCAGACUCCUACGGGAGGCAGCAGUGGGGAAUAUUGCACAAUGGGCGGAAGCCUGAUGCAGCAACGCCGCGUGCGGGAUGACGGCCUUCGGGUUGUAAACCGCUUUCGCCUGUGACGAAGCGUGAGUGACGGUAAUGGGUAAAGAAGCACCGGCUAACUACGUG
rnacentral:rRNA from 1 species